rnacentral:rRNA from 1 species
AUGGAGAGUUUUCAUGACUACAAGAUGGUGAAUAACCGUUCUGUGGUUGAACAAGCUCAUGAGAUACAGUGUAUUGUGAAGGAACUUGAACUCCUUAAGUGUGAUCUACCCGACAAAUUUGUGGCUGGGUGCUUGAUUGCAAAGUUGCCUCCUUCAUGGAGGAAUUUUGCCACAACUCCGAAACAUAAGAGACAUGAGACAUCAGUUGAAAAUCUGAUUGCAUCUCUUGAUAUUGAAGAAAAAGCUCGGGCUAAAGACACUACUGAGAAAGGAGGUGAGGUUCAGCCUACCGCCAAUAUGGUGUAG